GCCCUCGUGGCGGAACUGGCAUACGCGCAUGGCUUAGAACCAUGUCCCAUAAAUGGGUUAGAGGUUCAAAUCCUCUCGAGGGCA
rnacentral:tRNA from 1 species